AGCUCGGAUUGUAGUCUGCAACCCGACUACAUGAAGCUGGAAUCGCUAGUAAUCGCGGAUCAGAAUGCCGCGGUGAAUACGUUCCCGGGUCUUGUACACACCGCCCGUCACACCAUGGGAGUCGGAAAUGCCCGAAGUCUGUGACCUAACCGUAAGGGAGGAGCAGCCGAAGGCAGGUCGGAUGACUGGGGUGAAGUCGUAACAAGGUACC
rnacentral:rRNA from 1 species